rnacentral:rRNA from 1 species
GACGAACGCUGGCGGCGUGCCUAAUACAUGCAAGUAGAACGCUGAAGGAGUAGCUUGCUUCUCUGGAUGAGUUGCGAACGGGGGAGUAACGCGUAGGUAACCUGCCUUGUAGCGGGGGAUAACUAUUGGAAACGAUAGCUAAUACCGCAUAAUAGUAGAUGUUGCAUGGCAUUUACUUAAACGUUGCAAUUGCAUCGCUACCAUGUGCAGCUGCGUUGUAUUAGCUAGGUGGGGAGGUAACGGCUCCCCAAGGACACGCUACAUAUCCGGCCUGAGAGGGUGGUCGGCCACCCUGGGACUGGGAACCGGCCCAGGCCCCUUCCGGGGGCCGCCGUAGGGGAUUUUUGGCCAUGGACGGAAGUCUUACCGCGCCACGCCGCGUGAGGGGAGAAGGUUUUCGGAUCGUUAAGGUCUGUUUUAAGAGAAGAAAGAGUGGGAGGGUGGAAAGUUCACGCUGUGACGGUACCUUACCAGAAAGGGCCGGCUAACUACGUG